UAAAUUUAAUAAUUAAUAAUAAAAAUAUUAAUAAAAAAAUUUUUAGUGAAAAUUAUACAUACAUAUAUAUAUAUAUAUAUAUAUAUAUAUAUAAAUAUAUAUUGUUUUAGUAUUUUUUAUAGAAAAAAUUAAAAAAUUUAUAAUAAAUAAGUAUUGUGAAAGAAUUUUGAAAUAAUUGAAAAUUAAUUUUUUUAAAAGUAAUUUUAUUUAGUGUAUCUUGUGUAUCAGAGUUUAUUAAAAAAAAUUUUUAAAAAAAAAUUUCUCGAAUUAAAAAGAGCUAUUAAAUUAAAAAAAUUAUUGUUUCAUAAAUAUUUUUAAUAAUUUAAUUGAAAUGAAAUGUUAAUCGUUUUUUAAGAUAUCUAGUUUUUUUAGAAAAAAAUUUAAUUUAAAAUUUUAAAAAUAAAAUAAUUUUUUAUUUAAUUAUUUAAUUUAGAAUUUAAAUAUUUUAAGGGAUAAGCUUUAAAAUAAAUUUUUAUAAGAAUAUAUAAAAUAAAUUUUAAGAAUUUUAUAAUUUAUAUUGUUAAAUAAAUUUUAAUUUAUUAUAAAUAAUUUUAUUAAAAAUAAAAAUUUAAAAUAUUUCUUUAAUUUUAUAUAAAAAAAAAAUAAUUAAUAAUAUAUUUUUGGUUAUAAUGAUAAAAUUAGUAUAUAAUAGAAUUAAUUAAAAUAUGUCUAAUUUAUAUUAAAAUUAAUUAAAAAGAAUUCGGCAAAUUUAAUUUAUUUAUAUUCACCUGUUUAUCAAAAACAUGUCUUUUUGUGAUAAUUUAAAGUCUAAUCUGCCCACUGAUUAAUAUUAAAGGGCUGCAGUAUUUUGACUGUACAAAGGUAGCAUAAUCAUUAGUCUCUUAAUUGGUGACUUGUAUGAAUGAUUGGAUGAAAUAUAAGCUGUUUCUUAAUUAUUUAUAAAAUUUAAUUUUUUUAUCAAAAAGUAAAAAUAAGUUUAAAAGACGAGAAGACCCCAUAGAGUUUUAUAUAAAUAGAUAAUUUAAAAAUUAUAUAUUCAAGAAAUUUAUUAAGAUUAUUUAUUAUAUUUUAUUGGGGUGAUAAAAAAAUUAAAUAAACUUUUUUAUAUUUUUUUCCAUAGAUAAGUGAAUAUAUGAUCCAUUAUUAUUGAUUAAAAGAAAAAAUUACCUUGGGGAUAACAGCGUAAUUUUUUUUUUUAGUUCAAAUAGGAAAAAGAGUUUGCGACCUCGAUGUUGGAUUAAGAUAAAAUUUAAAUGCAAAAGUUUAAAAUUUUGAUCUGUUCGAUCAUUAAAAUCUUACAUGAUCUGAGUUCAAACCGGUGUAAGCCAGGUUGGUUUCUAUCUUUAAAUAAGUUAAAAUAUUUUAGUACGAAAGGAUCAAAUAUUUAAAAUAAUUUUUAGAAAAAAAAAGAAUUUUAUUAAAUUAGUUAAAAAUUAAAAAUUGUAAAUUUUUUAAGGGGAA
rnacentral:rRNA from 1 species